GACGUAUUUUAAUUCUACUGUUGCAUGCAUGUGUUGUGGUGUUUGCAUGACAAAUAAUAACAAGAAUGUGUUUCAUUGCUUUUGAAUUUUUUAAUUAUUUUAAAUGUCUCCUGUUGCUUUCGGGUAGGGUCUGUCUGUUAAACUGGCAAUGUGAGUCAUAUUCU